UACGGGGGGGGCAAGCGUUGUUCGGAAUUACUGGGCGUAAAGGGCUCGUAGGUGGCCAACUAAGUCAGACGUGAAAUCCCUCGGCUUAACCGGGGAACUGCGUCUGAUACUGGAUGGCUUGAGUUUGGGAGAGGGAUGCGGAAUUCCAGGUGUAGCGGUGAAAUGCGCAGAUAUCAGGAGGAACACCAAUGGCGAAGGCAGCUCGCUGGGACGGUACUGACACUGAGACGCGAAAGCGUGGGGAGCAAACAGG
rnacentral:rRNA from 1 species